GAUGAACGCUGGCGGCGUGCCUAAUACAUGCAAGUCGAGCGAACGGACGAGAAGCUUGCUUCUCUGAUGUUAGCGGCGGACGGGUGAGUAACACGUGGAUAACCUACCUAUAAGACUGGGAUAACUUCGGGAAACCGGAGCUAAUACCGGAUAAUAUUUUGAACCGCAUGGUUCAAAAGUGAAAGACGGUCUUGCUGUCACUUAUAGAUGGAUCCGCGCUGCAUUAGCUAGUUGGUAAGGUAACGGCUUACCAAGGCAACGAUGCAUAGCCGACCUGAGAGGGUGAUCGGCCACACUGGAACUGAGACACGGUCCAGACUCCUACGGGAGGCAGCAGUAGGGAAUCUUCCGCAAUGGGCGAAAGCCUGACGGAGCAACGCCGCGUGAGUGAUGAAGGUCUUCGGAUCGUAAAACUCUGUUAUUAGGGAAGAACAUAUGUGUAAGUAACUGUGCACAUCUUGACGGUACCUAAUCAGAAAGCCACGGCUAACCACGUGCCAGCAGCCGCGGUAAUACGUAGGUGGCAAGCGUUAUCCGGAAUUAUUGGGCGUAAAGCGCGCGUAGGCGGUUUUUUAAGUCUGAUGUGAAAGCCCACGGCUCAACCGUGGAGGGUCAUUGGAAACUGGAAAACUUGAGUGCAGAAGAGGAAAGUGGAAUUCCAUGUGUAGCGGUGAAAUGCGCAGAGAUAUGGAGGAACACCAGUGGCGAAGGCGACUUUCUGGUCUGUAACUGACGCUGAUGUGCGAAAGCGUGGGGAUCAAACAGGAUUAGAUACCCUGGUAGUCCACGCCGUAAACGAUGAGUGCUAAGUGUUAGGGGGUUUCCGCCCCUUAGUGCUGCAGCUAACGCAUUAAGCACUCCGCCUGGGGAGUACGACCGCAAGGUUGAAACUCAAAGGAAUUGACGGGGACCCGCACAAGCGGUGGAGCAUGUGGUUUAAUUCGAAGCAACGCGAAGAACCUUACCAAAUCUUGACAUCCUCUGACCCCUCUAGAGAUAGAGUUUUCCCCUUCGGGGGACAGAGUGACAGGUGGUGCAUGGUUGUCGUCAGCUCGUGUCGUGAGAUGUUGGGUUAAGUCCCGCAACGAGCGCAACCCUUAAGCUUAGUUGCCAUCAUUAAGUUGGGCACUCUAAGUUGACUGCCGGUGACAAACCGGAGGAAGGUGGGGAUGACGUCAAAUCAUCAUGCCCCUUAUGAUUUGGGCUACACACGUGCUACAAUGGACAAUACAAAGGGCAGCGAAACCGCGAGGUCAAGCAAAUCCCAUAAAGUUGUUCUCAGUUCGGAUUGUAGUCUGCAACUCGACUAUAUGAAGCUGGAAUCGCUAGUAAUCGUAGAUCAGCAUGCUACGGUGAAUACGUUCCCGGGUCU
rnacentral:rRNA from 1 species